rnacentral:sRNA from 1 species
AAGCUACUGGGGGAGCCGAAGCUCCCCCCCAAGUAGGUGCGUGCUUUGUUUUUAUUAUGAUUUCGGGCUUGUUGUUUUUGUUUGUCGACCCGUCCCUUGAGCCAGUCGCUUCAGGGAUAUCUCCCAGGCUGGGAGUUCAAUAGCAAACGGAUUGCUUUGGUCGCUGAUGCCGCCAUGAUCGUCGAGCGAUCCAACCAGUCUGUGCGCUGCCUCGAGGCAGUU